rnacentral:misc_RNA from 1 species
CCCCGUCCUUGAAGCGGGC